GGAGGCCUACGGGGGGCAGCAGUGGGGAAUAUUGCACAAUGGGGGAAACCCUGGUGCAGCGACGCCGCGUGAGCGAAGAAGUAUUUCGGUAUGUAAAGCUCUAUCAGCAGGGAAGAAAAAUGACGGUACCUGACUAAGAAGCCCCGGCUAACUACGUGCCAGCAGCCGCGGUAAUACGUAGGGGGCAAGCGUUAUCCGGAUUUACUGGGUGUAAAGGGAGCGUAGACGGCAGCGCAAGUCUGGAGUGAAAUGCCGGGGCCCAACCCCGGAACUGCUCUGGAAACUGUGAAGCUGGAGUGCAGGAG
rnacentral:rRNA from 1 species